ACUGACACUCAGGGACGAAAGCUAGGGGAGCGAAUGGGAUUAGAUACCCCAGUAGUCCUAGCCGUAAACGAUGGAUACUAGGUGUUGUCUGUAUCGACCCGGACAGUGCCGUAGCUAACGCGUUAAGUAUCCCGCCUGGGGAGUACGCACGCAAGUGUGAAACUCAAAGGAAUUGACGGGGGCCCGCACAAGCGGAGGAACAUGUGGUUUAAUUCGAUGAUACGCGAGGAACCUUACCCGGGCUUAAAUUGCAGAGGAAUGAUCUGGAAACAGGUCAGUCUUCGGACUUCUGUGAAGGUGCUGCAUGGUUGUCGUCAGCUCGUGCCGUGAGGUGUCGGCUUAAGUGCCAUAACGAGCGCAACCCUUGUGGUCAGUUACUAACAGGUAAUGCUGAGGACUCUGGCCAGACUGCCAUCGUAAGAUG
rnacentral:rRNA from 1 species